rnacentral:rRNA from 1 species
GACGAACCGUACGAGCGUUGUUCGGAAUUAUUGGGCGUAAAGGGCGCGUAGGCGGCCUGGCAAGUGGAAGGUGAAAUCCCUCGGCUUAACCGAGGAACUGCCCUCCAAACUGCUUGGCUUGAGUCCGGGAGAGGUGAGUGGAAUUCCCAGUGUAGCGGUGAAAUGCGUAGAUAUUGGGAGGAACACCAGUGGCGAAGGCGGCUCACUGGACCGGAACUGACGCUGAGGCGCGAAAGCGUGGGGAGCAAACGGG